rnacentral:tRNA from 4 species
GCCCGUUUGGCUUAGGGGUACAGCGUCUCACUCGUAAUGAGAAGAUCCGCGGUUCGAUUCCGCGAAUGGGCA